GCAAGUCGAACGCGAAGUCUCCUUCGGGAGACAAGUAGAGUGGCGCACGGGUGAGUAACACGUAGGUAAUCUACCUUUGGAUGGGGAAUAACAAUCGGAAACGGUUGCUAAUACCGCAUAAUGCAGCGGCACCUAAUGGUGACAGUUGUUAAAGCGGGGGAUCGAAAGACCUCGCGCCUGAAGAGGAGCCUGCGGCGGAUUAGCUAGUUGGUAAGGUAAUGGCUUACCAAGGCUACGAUCCGUAACCGGCCUGAGAGGGCGGUCGGUCACACUGACACUGACAUACGGGUCAGACUCCUACGGGAGGCAGCAGUCGGGAAUUUUGGGCAAUGGGCGAAAGCCUGACCCAGCAACGCCGCGCGAAGGAUGAAAUCCCUCGGGAUGUAAACUUCGCAAGAAUGAGAAGAAUAAGUAGGGGACAAUACCCCCUAUGAUGACGGUAUCAUUUGUAAGCUCCGGCUAACUCCGUGCCAGCAGCCGCGGUAAUACGGGGGGAGCAAGCGUUGUUCGGAUUUACUGGGCGUAAAGGGCGCGUAGGCGGCCAGCACAAGUCAGUUGUGAAAUCUCCGAGCUUAACUCGGAAAGGUCAACUGAUACUGUGCGGCUAGAGUGCANAAGGGGCAACUGGAAUUCUUGGUGUAGCGGUGAAAUGCGUAGAUAUCAAGAGGAACCACCUGCGGCGAAGGCGGGUUGCUGGGCUGACAC
rnacentral:rRNA from 1 species